AGAUCAGGUAAUUCUUUUCAUCAGCGAUGGCAAAUCGACAUCUGGCAGUGAUCCUGUACAAGUUAUCAGCACUGAAAAUUCAAAACUUCAAAAUAGAAUUGCAAUAUUCACUUACCUGAUUGGAGAGGAGGAACAAGCGAAAAUUCAGCUACAAAACAUGUCAAGUCAGACCUUACAUGAUCCGUCCUAUGGAUCUAAGCAAAUUGGACAUUUCGAACACUUUGCCCUAUCCAAACAGAAGUUACUUUCUGUCAAAUUGGCCACAUUUUAUGAACAUCUGUCUACCGAUGGUCAAUCCGACCAGUCAACCUUUACAUCACCAUACGUUGACCCAUUUUCUGGAAUCGG